GUCUUUUUGUAAUUAAUUUAAAGUCUAGCCUGCCCAAUGAUAAUUUUAAUGGCCGCAGUAUUUUGACUGUGCAAAGGUAGCAUAAUCAUUAGUUUUUUAAUUGAAAACUGGAAUGAAAGGUUGGACGAGAAAGUAACUGUCUCUUUAUUAAUGUUUUAGAAUUUUAUUUUUAAGUUAAAAAGCUUAAAUUUUUUUAAAAGACGAGAAGACCCUAUAGAGUUUUAUUAAUUUAGUAAUUAAUAUUUUAUUUAGAAUAUUUAUAUUAUUAUUAUUAUAUUAAUUUAAUUGGGGUGAUUGAAAAAUUUAAUUAACUUUUUUUUUAUGUUAACAUUAAUAUAUGAUUUAUUGAUCCAUAGUGUAUGAUUAUAAGAUUAAAUUACCUUAGGGAUAACAGCGUAAUUUCUUUUUAGAGUUCUGAUCGAUAAAGAAGUUUGUGACCUCGAUGUUGGAUUAAAAUAAAUUUUUGGUGUAGUAGCUGAAAUAUUAGGUCUGUUCGACCUUUAAAAUUUUACA
rnacentral:rRNA from 1 species